AUCAGGUAAGCCAAAAUGGGUGCAUACAAAUACAUCCAGGAGCUAUGGAGGAAGAAGCAGUCUGAUGUAAUGCCUUUUCUUCUGAGGGUCCUCUGUUGGCAGUAUCACCAGCUCUCUGCGCUCCACAGGGCUCCCUACACCACCCUGCCAGAUAAAACAUGCAGACUGGGAUACAAGGCACAUACAGGAUUCGUGUGUACCGUGGUGUUCGCAAACACUCAGUUCCUAAGGAUGCAACCUACGGCAAGCCUGUCCAUCAUGGUGUUAACCAGCUAAGAAAUAGAAAGUAUGCUCAAAGCCUCCAGUCUAUUGAGGAGCGAGCUGGAUGCCACUGUGAGGCUCUAAGAGUCCUGAAUUCAUACUGGGCUGGUGAAGAUUCCACAUACAAAUUUUUUGAGGUUAUCCUCAUUGAUCCAUUCCAUAAAGCUAUCAGAAGAAAUCCUGACACCCAGUCAAACACCAAACUGGUCCACAAGCACACAGGGAAAAGCAUGGGCUGACAUCUGCAGGCCGCAGGAGCUGUGGCCUUGGAAAGGGACAUAAGUUCCACCACACUAUUGGUGGUUCUCGCCGUCCAGCUUGGAGAAGGCGCAAUACUCUCCAGCUCUACCAUUACUGCUAAUAUAAGUAAUGUUUGUAAAAUUCACACCUAAUAAACAAUUUAGGAUGGUCAUGUCUGCUUAAAGGUGUUAUCUGUCUGUUAAAACUAGUCCGCAGAUAGUUUCAUGAAUGCUUUGCCAAAUUAUGAAGUUAAAGUGCCAUAAUGUUUGAAGACUAUAAGUGAUGGUGUGUCUUGUUUCAAAUAAGAUAAAUUUUUUUGUCUUUGCUUUAUCUUAUUAGUGAGUUAUAUGUCAGUGUUUAAAACAUGCUAUGUGGUACAACAGGUGUAAAAUAACUUCUUUAAAAGAGGAGUGCUUAAA